rnacentral:rRNA from 1 species
AUUGAACGCUAGCGGGAUGCUUUACACAUGCAAGUCGAACGGCAGCGCGGACUUCGGUCUGGCGGCGAGUGGCGAACGGGUGAGUAAUGUAUCGGAACGUGCCCAGUAGCGGGGGAUAACUACGCGAAAGCGUAGCUAAUACCGCAUACGCCCUACGGGGGAAAGCAGGGGAUCGUAAGACCUUGCACUAUUGGAGCGGCCGAUAUCGGAUUAGCUAGUUGGUGAGGUAACGGCUCACCAAGGCGACGAUCCGUAGCUGGUUUGAGAGGACGACCAGCCACAUUGGGACUGAGACACGGCCCAGACUCCUACGGGAGGCAGCAGUGGGGAAUUUUGGACAAUGGGGGCAACCCUGAUCCAGCCAUCCCGCGUGUGCGAUGAAGGCCUUCGGGUUGUAAAGCACUUUUGGCAGGAAAGAAACGUCGCGGGCUAAUACCCCGUGGAACUGACGGUACCUGCAGAAUAAGCACCGGCUAACUACGUG